rnacentral:lncRNA from 1 species
GUUGAGAAAUAAAAGGAAGAAUAAGAUAACACCUAUAUUUCGGUGUUCUUAUAUUAGAUAUACUGUGAAGAAGGAACUCCGAGGAAGAGAAGGUAACCAGUUGCUUGCAGCUGACUGGGUAUACCAAGAAAUUAUAAAAAGCUUCAAAGAGGGAAGCAGAAGCUCAUAGCAGAUCUGAUUUAGGAACUAGAAGAUAGCAAAAGUAGCAAGAAAACAUGAGACUGACUUCAGUUUCCAAUAUGACAGAUCACAUUGUAAGAUUCAAGGUGUGAAGCAAAAAGUCUCUUUGGUCAGUCAUCCUGCAGAUCAUGAGGAAACCACUGCUUUUGUUCCUUCUGUUGAUUUUCCUGCACAUUGCCCGAAUCUCAGUCUGUUUUGAUGGAGUUGUAUGCAUUUGGAUGGUGUCCUAAGUUCUCUUUACUUAUUUUAAAGGCUCUUUCAUUUCUGGUGGAGACAUGUCCUUCUGACAUCUUCAUGAGAAAUCGUGGAUGCAUCCUCAUGCUGCCAAGGGCAUUCCAGCACUUUGUUUUGUAA